ensembl:lncRNA
CCCUCUGCAUUGUCAGGCUUUCUGUCCUUGAAGUCGAAUGUUAUAAUGAAUUCCAAGAGUCAGGCCUUUUGCCCCUAAAAUGAAUUUAUUUCUCAGAUCCAUGUCCCAGUUGCCUUGAAACAAACCAGCCCUUGUGAGGCGGGAAGCAGGGGGCCUCUGUGAGGGAGUCUUAGCUGGAAGAGAGCGGCCCUCUGACCUUAGACCUCUCUCCAGAGCUUCAGAGCAGAGACAAGAGCCCAGAAAGGAGCAGAUGCUAGAUUUGCAAGAUCAGAAGCAGGUCUUGAUCCCCCUGCCCAGAAUGAACCAGACUUGAUGAUGAUGCCACCUUCAGGAGCCACCACACUGUGUGACAGUGGGGCAUCUGGGCCGUCCCUGGGAAGAACAGAUGCGCUGCUGUCACACAUGUCCACCACCACAUGUGACAUUAGUGACGUUAUCCUGAUGUCACAGGAUCCAAGAAUGAUGAUCUGUGAAGAGUUUUCCAAGGUCACCUACUUCUAACCCUUUUGAAAGAUUUAAAGACAUUGGGCCUGAAAACUUCAGUGACUUGUCCAGGGAAACGCAGUUUGUGACAGUUCACUCUCUCACAGCUGAACCACAGCCCUCUGUACUCGCCCAGGAGCCACAGAAAGUGCACAUCCCUCAGGACAAUGAGAAUACAGUUUCCUCCGAAAAAAUCUUAGGCUGAUCUUGGAAGAAAGACCCCCUGGAUCAUCUAAAAAUAAAGUUUUCUAUUUAAAGAACAUCCCUGUAGCUAAAUGGUGUUCAAAGUAAACAUGGAGAACAGAAAGCAUCCAUCUCCACCUAGUGGGGCAAAAAAUGACUGAAUUCCCAUACCAUAUAAAUACCCCAUGAAAACACAGAGGAAUCCUUCAUCCACCCAACAUUCACUGAGUAUCUGCCUCGUGGCAAGCACCGCGGAUGUGCUUGGAUACAAAGAUAAAUAAAACGUGGGCUCCGCUCCCAGCAGUUCAACGUCUAGCAGUCUUUGUCCCAUGCUCUUAAAUCUUGCUAAGGAUUGGGUUUGUUUGUAAUAGAAAUUCUAAAGCAGGGACAGAAGAAGUUAUCUUUUCUAAAUUGCCCACCUCUGUUGUCUAAUUAUUCCACUGAGGGAAACACUUGGUCCUGGGUUACUUCGCUGAGCUCAGAUAUGUUUUGCUGACACACAGAGUCUGGGCAGCAUCCAGCCCCCUGUUUACUCCCUGGUCUUUAAGUCUAGUAAGUAUUUUAUCAUUUACACCUUUCGAUGUCCAAAGAGAGUGCCGCUCGGGGUUUAAAACAUGUAAUUUCCUUUACUACCUCCCCAAAUAACGGGGUCAUUUCAGGACCAGGACAGUUUGGCACUGGGACGUGUUUCCCAGAAGUACUAAUAGUUCGAGAGGGGAGCAAGCGUCUUCACAGCUGCAGGUCUGGGUGCCGAACUUUCUACUGUCGGUGAGAAUCAUGUCCCAGUGAAAAGGGAGAAGUGAACCAACCCUCAAAGGGAUAAGGUGACAGGGAGUGGUGUUUACUUGAGUCAGAGAGUAACUGAAAAUGACUUCUGCAGCUGGAAUAAAACAAAGGGUUGAAGGUCAACUUCCUCUUUGAUUUUGGCUAGUCAGCAGUUCAAGCAGCCUUUUCAAAUGUUUCGUGUCUGCUGACUAGUCCAACUCUAUAAAAGACCCCACAUCUUGCACCAACCUGUACCUCUUGGGCACUGGAGCGAAACAAAAGGAAAAAUGUUCCGUCUUAUUAGAAUUAAUGAAGUCAUGCCACUCACAUCCGUCCACGUUACCCCACUUUGGCCACCACCAUUGUGGUCCAUGCUGAUAUCUUUUCUCUCGUAGAUUACUGCAGUGGCCUUCUCACUGGUCUCUCACAUCCUGUUUACCCCAUCCAAAGCAUUCUUCACAUUAAAUAACUAGUUGAUUUGGCCCAGAGAACUCUGCUUAAUCUGUGCCCCCCACGCUUUUCCCUCUUCUUGUUGCAUCACAUUCGUCCCUCCUCACUCUCUCUGCUCUCAUCACCCAGAUUCCUCUGCCUGGAACACUUCUCCCUCCCUGCUUUGCCAAGUUGUCUCCU